rnacentral:tRNA from 1 species
GCUCAAUUGGUAGAGUACAAAGCUCUUAACCUUGUGGACGUGGGUUUGAGCCCCAU